GACGAACGCUGGCGGCGUGCUUAACACAUGCAAGUCGAGCGGUAAGGCCCUUUCGGGGGUACACGAGCGGCGAACGGGUGAGUAACACGUGGGUGACCUGCCCUCAGCUCUGGGAUAAGCCUGGGAAACUGGGUCUAAUACUGGAUAUGACUCCACGGUGCAUGUCGUGGGGUGGAAAGCCUUGUGCGGCUGAGGAUGGGCCCGCGGCCUAUCAGCUUGUUGGUGGGGUGANGGCCUACCAAGGCGACGACGGGUAGCCGGCCUGAGAGGGCGACCGGCCACACUGGGACUGAGACACGGCCCAGACUCCUACGGGAGGCAGCAGUGGGGAGUCCUGCGCAAUGGGCGAAAGCCUGACGCAGCGACGCCGCGUGAGGGAUGACGGCCUGGUGUAACUC
rnacentral:rRNA from 1 species